rnacentral:rRNA from 1 species
UACAGAGGUCCCAAGCGUUGUUCGGAUUCAUUGGGCGUAAAGGGUGCGUAGGCGGCGGGGUAAGUCAGGUGUGAAAUCUCGGAGCUUAACUCCGAAACUGCAUUCGAUACUGCCGUGCUUGAGGACUGGAGAGGAGACUGGAAUUUACGGUGUAGCGGUGAAAUGCGUAGAUAUCGUAAGGAAGACCAGUGGCGAAGGCGGGUCUCUGGACAGUUCCUGACGCUGAGGCACGAAGGCCAGGGGAGCAAACGGG